rnacentral:rRNA from 1 species
UACGAGGGGGGCAAGCGUUGUUCGGAUUUAUUGGGCGUAAAGGGUGCGUAGGCGGUUUGGCAAGUCUUGUGUGAAAUCUUUGGGCUCAACCCAAAGCCUGCACGAGAAACUGCCGGGCUUGAGUAUGGGAGAGGUGAGUGGAAUUUCCGGUGUAGCGGUGAAAUGCGUAGAUAUCAGGAGGAACACCGGUGGUGUAAACGGCUUUCUGGACCAUAACUGACGCUGAGGCACGAAAGCGUGGGUAGCAAACAGG